rnacentral:rRNA from 1 species
AGAGUUUGAUCCUGGCUCAGAUUGAACGCUGGCGGCAUGCCUUACACAUGCAAGUCGAACGGCAGCGCGGGGCAACCUGGCGGCGAGUGGCGAACGGGUGAGUAAUAUAUCGGAACGUGCCCUGGAGUGGGGGAUAACGCAGCGAAAGUUGCGCUAAUACCGCAUACGAUCUAAGGAUGAAAGCAGGGGACCGCAAGGCCUUGUGCUCCUGGAGCGGCCGAUAUCUGAUUAGCUAGUUGGUGGGGUAAAGGCCUACCAAGGCAUCGAUCAGUAGCUGGUCUGAGAGGACGACCAGCCACACUGGAACUGAGACACGGUCCACACUCCUACGGGAGGCAGCAGUGGGGAAUUUUGGACAAUGGGCGCAAGCCUGAUCCAGCAAUGCCGCGUGAGUGAAGAAGGCCUUCGGGUUGUAAAGCUCUUUUGUCAAGGAAGAAACGGUGGGGGCUAAUAUCCCCUGCUAAUGACGGUACCUGAAGAAUAAGCACCGGCUUACUACGUGCCAGCAGCCGCGGUAAUACGUAGGGUGCAAGCGUUAAUCGGAAUUACUGGGCGUAAAGCGUGCGCAGGCGGUUUUUGUAAGUCUGUCGUGAAAUCCCCGGGCUCAACCUGGGAAUUGCGAUGGAGACUGCAAGGCUAGAAUCUGGCAGAGGGGGGUAGAAUUCCACGUGUAGCAGUGAAUGCGUAGAG